AUAUUCAUCAGAAUGGUUUCAAAGAAGGAAAAACUAAAGAAAAGGACUAAAACGGAAGGAAAGCCUUAUUUGUAUUUGAUUUGAUUCUCUCGACUUUCCCUUUGUUAUUGUAUUUAGGUAGGCGGGGAAAUGUUUUUCAUUUUUAAUCUCUUUACUUUAUUAAAUAAAUUU
rnacentral:ribozyme from 1 species